rnacentral:rRNA from 1 species
AGUGAACGCUGGCGGUAGGCCUAACACAUGCAAGUCGAACGGCAGCACAGUAAGAGCUUGCUCUUACGGGUGGCGAGUGGCGGACGGGUGAGGAAUACAUCGGAAUCUACUUUUUCGUGGGGGAUAACGUAGGGAAACUUACGCUAAUACCGCAUACGACCUACGGGUGAAAGCAGGGGAUCUUCGGACCUUGCGCGAUUGAAUGAGCCGAUGUCGGAUUAGCUAGUUGGCGGGGUAAAGGCCCACCAAGGCGACGAUCCGUAGCUGGUCUGAGAGGAUGAUCAGCCACACUGGAACUGAGACACGGUCCAGACUCCUACGGGAGGCAGCAGUGGGGAAUAUUGGACAAGGGGCGCAAGCCUGAUCCAGCCAUACCGCGUGGGUGAAGAGGGCCUUCGGGUUGUAAAGCCCUUUUGUUGGGAAAGAAAAGCAGCAGGUUAAUACCCCGCUGUUCUGACGGUACCCAAAGAAUAAGCACCGGCUAACUUCGUG